rnacentral:lncRNA from 10 species
UAAGAAUUAUGAUUACUCUGGUCUCAUCAAGCCACUUCUAAGAAUACAAAUUCUAUGCAUUUACUGCAACCUCAGGACAAGAUUGACCUCGGAAAGGCUUUGGGAACACUUUAGAAAACAUCUCUUCCUCCCACUGAAAGGGUGGUCAAGACUUGAGGAUUCAGAGGCUGUUUCUCAAUUUAAGUCUCUAAGAAUAUGCCCUUCAGCCUUCUUACCUUGACUUCUGGAACUUUAUUGGUGAAAAAAAACUACGGCAUGACUCUGACAAUCCUUUGAAGUCAUGAAUAUACAAGAGCAUGAAUAAGAGAAGAAAAGAUGGAAGAUAAAAAGCAGAAGGGUGCUGGAGAUAUAAUGGUGAAUAAUGUUGCAAUAUGCCCAGUCUUCAUGGAAUCAACAGUCCAGUGGGGAAGGCAGAUAAGUG